rnacentral:rRNA from 1 species
UGGGGAAUAUUGCACAAUGGGCGCAAGCCUGAUGCAGCCAUGCCGCGUGAGUGAAGAAGGCCUUAGGGUUGUAAAGCUCUUUCAACGGUGAAGAUGAUGACGGUAGCCGUAGAAGAAGCCCCGGCUAACUCCGUGCCAGCAGCCGCGGUAAUACGGAGGGGGCAAGCGUUGUUCGGAAUUACUGGGCGUAAAGAGCACGUAGGCGGCGAUGCGGGUCAGGUGUGAAAGCCCCGGGCUUAACCUGGGAACUGCACUUGAAACUGCAUUGCUUGAGGACGGAAGAGGAGAAUGGAAUUCCCAGUGUAGAGGUGAAAUUCGUAGAUAUUGGGAAGAACACCAGUGGCGAAGGCGAUUCUCUGGUCCGUAUCUGACGCUGAGGUGCGAAAGCGUGGGGAGCAAACAGG